CCAAACAAUUCAUAUUUUUUAUUUAUUUAAUAAUAAUUGAUCAAGCCAAAUCACCACACCAACCACCUUCUUCCUCAAUCAUCAGCAUCAGCAACCGCUAUGAAUUCACAAGUUAUACUGGAGAUCGUUGGAUUGAAUUUGAAGGUGGCAGGUGUGCAUGAACGCUUACACUUACCGCACACAGAGCUGGAAAUUAAUUUGCUCUUCUCUGACAAAUUGGUCCAGUCAUGCGGGCUUGUCUUGCUUUCUGCUGCCUUUAUCAGUUCAAGCAAAGCUUCAUUGACCUGAAUUUGCAACGUUUUCGCAUGUAUCAGUCAACUCAUAUUUGACUCUGUAAGAUUUAUGGGUCUGCUUCUUUUUGUUUUACUUGAGGAUAAAAUCAUGAAAGUGUAAAAUGCCAUUUUCGUCCCUGAGGUUUGGCCAGUUUUGCGUCUUUUGUCCAAAGGUUUAUUUUUUCGCAUCUGAAUCCAAAAAGUUUUAAAUCUUGCCAUUCUCAUUUGGCUCGUUAACUCCAUCCGUUUUUCUGCGUUAAGUCGGGUAUUUCCGUCUUUUUUGUUAACCUUAAAGGGCAAUUCAGUCUUUUUCAGGGGUUAUCGUCUUUUUACAUUUUUUACAUAAAGUGAAAAUAACUGAAUCGCCCUUUAAGGUUAACAAAAAAGACGGAAAUACCCCUAACUUAACGAAGAAAAUGGAUGGAGUUAAUGAGUUGGAUACAAAUGGCAAGAUUUCAAACCUUUUGGAUCCAGACGCGGAUAAAACCAACCUUUGGAUGGAAGUCGCAAAACUGGCCAAACCUCAGUGACGAAAAUAGCAUUUUACUCAAUCAUGAAGCUUCAAUAUAUUGUUUUAAUAAAGUCACUCAAUACUUUUUUCUAACUAUAAAAACCACUCAAGUUUCAUUAUUGGUACUAUUGUUGUGAAGUUUUUCAUAAUUGUUUAAACUGAAUACAACGUAGUAGUGACCAAGAUU